AUGGUAACUGGGGAGGAACAGAUGGAGCUGCCGUUCUCUGGUCUGGAGUUGACCUUCAUCAUCAUCGCCUUCAUCAUAUUCUCUCUCUUCAGCCUGGCCUCAGUCUGUACUCAGCCAGACACAGGUACACACACACACACCUGGUUAAAUAAUGGUUCAAUAAAAAUAUAAAGAUUUCUGUUAAUGUGUGUGUGGUGUGUGUGUGUGUGUGUGUGUGUGUGUGUGUGUGUGUGUGUGUGUGUGUGUGUGUGUGUGUGUGUGUGUGUGUGUGUGUGUGUGUGUGUGUGUGUGUGUGUGGGGUGUGUGUGUGGCAGAGGAAGCUGUGUGUGAAGAGAAAAGGUUCCAAAGGAGACCAGAGAGGAAGCAACGUGUCAUCGUCAAACUGGCCUCUCAGAAAGAACCCUAGACACUGUCCCAAACUGGCCUCUCAGAAAGAACCCUAAACACUGUCCCAAACUGGCCUCUCAGAAAGAACCCUAAACACUGUCCCAAACUGGCCUCUCAGAAAGAACCCUAAACAUUGUCCCAAACUGGCCUCUCAGAAAGAACCCUAAACACUGUCCCAAACUGGCCUCUCAGAAAGAACCCUAAACACUGUCCCAAACUGGCCUCUCAGAAAGAACCCUAGACACUGUCCCAAACUGGCCUCUCAGAAAGAACCCUAGACACUGUCCCAAACUGGCCUCUCAGAAAGAACCCUAGACACUGUCCCAAACUGGCCUCUCAGAAAGAACCCUAAACACUGUCCCAAACUGGCCUCUCAGAAAGAACCCUAAACACUGUCCCAAACUGGCCUCUCAGAAAGAACCCUAAACACUGUCCCAAACUGGCCUCUCAGAAAGAACCCUAAACACUGUCCCAAACUGGCCUCUCGGAAAGAACCCUAGACACUGUACCAAACUGUCCCAAAAAACCCUAAACACUGUUUCCUGACGGAUAAUGUAGUGUCUGUCUGUCUGUCGGUUUCCUGAUGGAUAAUGUAGUGUCUGUCUGUCUGUUUCCUGAUGGAUAAUGGAGUGUCUGUCUGUCGGUUUCCUGAUGGAUAAUGUAGUGUCUGUCUGUCGGUUUCCUGAUGGAUAAUGUAGUGUCUGUCUGUCGGUUUCCUGAUGGAUAAUGUAGUGUCUGUCUGUGUUUUCUGAUGGAUAAUGUAGUGUCUGUCUGUCUGUUUUCUGAUGGAUAAUGUAGUGUCUGUCUCUGUCUGUUUCCUGAUGGAUAAUGUAGUGUCUGUCUAUCGGUUUCCUGAUGGAUAAUGUAGUGUCCGUCUAUCGGUUUCCUGAUGGAUAAUGUAGUGUCUGUCUGUCGGUUUCCUGAUGGAUAAUGUAGUGUCUGUCUGUCUGUCUGUUUCCUGAUGGAUAAUGUAGUGUCUGUCUAUCGGUUUCCUGAUGGAUAAUGUAGUGUCUGUCUGUCUGUUUCCUGAUGGAUAAUGUAGUGUCUGUCUGUCUGUUUCCUGAUGGAUAAUGUAGUGUCUGUCUGUCUGUUUCCUGAUGGAUAAUGUAGUGUCUGUCUGUCUGUUUCCUGAUGGAUAAUGUAGUGUCUGUCUGUCGGUUUCCUGAUGGAUAAUGUAGUGUCUGUCUGUCGGUUUCCUGAUGGAUAAUGUAGUGUCUGUCUAUCGGUUUCCUGAUGGAUAAUGUAGUGUCUGUCUGUCUGUCUGUUUCCUGAUGGAUAAUGUAGUGUCUGUCUGUCGGUUUCCUGAUGGAUAAUGUAGUGUCUGUCUGUCUGUUUCCUGAUGGAUAAUGUAGUGUCUGUCUGUCUGUUUCCUGAUGGAUAAUGUAGUGUCUGUCUGUCGGUUUCCUGAUGGAUAAUGUAGUGUCUGUCUAUCGGUUUCCUGAUGGAUAAUGUAGUGUCUGUCUGUCUGUCUGUUUCCUGAUGGAUAAUGUAGUGUCUGUCUGUCUGUUUCCUGAUGGAUAAUAAACUAUUUCAUUAUGUUCUUCUCUCUCUAAUGUCCAUGAUUUGGUAUCAUUCAAUAGAGGUGUAAUAGAAAAGGAUGGACAGUUGAAGUCAGAAAUGUACAUACACUUAGGUUGGAGUCAUUAAAACUUGUUUUUCAACCACUGCACACAUUUCUUGUUAACAAACUACAGUUUUGGCAAGUCGGUUAGGACAUCUAUUUUGUGCAUGACAAGUCAUUUUUCCAACAAUUGUUUACAGACAGAUUAUUUCACUUAUAAUUCACUGUAUCACUAUUCCAGGGGGUCAGAAGUUUACAUACACUAAGUUGACUGUGCCUUUAAAUGGCUUGGAAAAUUCCAGAAAAUGAUGUCAUGGCUUUAGAAGCUUCUGAUAGGCUAAUUGACAUCAUUUGAGUCUAUUGGAGGUGUACUUGUUGGUGUAGUUCAAGGCCUACCUUCAAACUCA
rnacentral:lncRNA from 1 species